rnacentral:siRNA from 1 species
AGGAGCUGAUGUACAGGUCC